rnacentral:rRNA from 1 species
GAUCAAGCUACUAAGGGCUUACGGUGAAUGCCUUGGUGCCAAGAGGCGAUGAAGGACGCAGCAAGCUGCGAUAAGCCACGGGGAGCCGCAAGCAGACGUUGAUCCGUGGAUUUCCGAAUGGGACAACCCAGUUCCGGUAACUCGGGACUAUUGCCGGAUGAAUUCAUAGUCCGGCAAGGCGACACGGGGUGAAGUGAAACAUCUCAGUAACCCCAGGAAAAGAAAACGAAGUGAUUCCGUCAGUAGUGGCGAGCGAACGCGGAAGAGCCCAAACCGGGGAAACUUGUUUCCCCGGGGUUGAGGGACCUCGAUGUGGGAGGCGGCGGGCGAGCUUAACGAUUUGGAAAAAUCGACCAUAGACCGUGACAGUCGGGUGAGCGAAGCCUUAAACCCCCUAGGGGUAUCCCAAGUAACGCGGUGCACGUGAAACCCCGCGUGAAUCGGUCCGGACCACCGGAUAAGGCUAAAUACUCCUUGGCGACCGAUAGUGAACCAGUACCGUGAGGGAAAGGUGAAAAGAACCCCUGCUAGGGGAGUGAAAUAGUACCUGCAACCGUAAGCUUACAAGGUGUGGGAGUUCCGCUUCGGCGGAAUGACCGCCUGCCUUUUGCAUAAUGAGUCUGCGAGUUAUUGUCUGUGGCGAGCUUAAGUCCUGAUGGGAUGGAGGCGAAGCGAAAGCGAGUACGAAAUGUGCGACCAGUCGCAGGCAAUAGACCCGAAGCGGAGGUGAUCUAUUCUUGGGCAGGCUGAAACUGGAGUAACACCCAGUGGAGGGCCGAACUCGUGAAUGUUGAAAAAUUCUGAGAUGACCUGAGAAUAGGAGCGAAAGACUAAACAAACCCCGUGAUAGCUGGUUCUCUCCGAAAUCGCUUGAGGGCGAGUGUUGUGGAAGUACUCCGUGGAGGUAGAGCACUGGAUGGCUUAGGGACCCCACCAGGUUACCAAAACCAAUCAAACUCCGAAUUCCAUGGAUCUCAGUAUCACAGCAAUCAGGCUGUGGGGGCUAAGCUUCAUAGCCGAGAGGGUAACAGCCCAGAUCGCCAGCUAAGGUGCCCCAAUACGGUUAAGUGGAAAGGAUGUGACGUUGCUUGGACAGUGAGGAUGUUGGCUUAGAGGCAGCCAUCAUUUAAACAGUGCGUAAUAGCUGACUCAUCGAGCGAUGUCGCGCCGACGAUGAUUGGCGAUGAAACCGUAUACCGAAGCUGUGGAUUCCCGGAGGGUUCGCCCCCCGGGAGUGGUAGGAGAGCGUCGCGGCUGCGGCGAAGCCUGACCGUAAGGGACGGUGGAGCGGCCGCGAGUGAGAAUGCAGACACGAGUAGCGAUAAACCGGAUGAGAAUUCCGGUCGCCGUAAACCUAAGGUUUCCUGGGCAAGGUUCGUCCUCCUAGGGUUAGCCGGGAGCUAAGGCGAGGCCGUAAGGCGUAGUCGAUGCACAGCAGGUUAAUAUUCCUGCGCUCGCUAGGGGGUAGUGGUAGGAUGACGCAGAGAGAAAAGUGGCUAAGUCAUUGAAAGACAGAGCUGAGACUUCGGUCAAAGCGCACCACCGGACAAUCUGCCGAGAAAAGUCCUGCCAUGUUUCCCUGGCGACCCGUACCGUAAACCGACACAGGUGGGUGAGUGUAAGCGCACUCAGGCGCGCGAGAGAAACCUCUCUAAGGAACUCGGCAAAAUAGCCCCGUAACUUCGGGAAAAGGGGUGCUUGCUUGCGUUGCAGUCAUGUGACGCGGAGCAAGCCACAGUAAAUUGGGUUUAGCGACUGUUUAACAAAAACACAGCACUCUGCGAAGUUGUGAAAACAACGUAUAGGGUGUGACACGUGACCAAUGCGGAAAGAUUAAGUCGACUUGUUAGCCGCAAGGCGAAGCUCGUCGUCUAAGUCCCCGUGAAUGUCGGCCGUAACUAUAACGGUCCUAAGGUAGCGAAAUUCCUUGUCGGGUAAGUUCCGACCUGCACGAAUCGUGUAACGACUGAACCGCUGUCUCGGAGAGGUUCUCGGCGAAACUGUAACGGCGGUGAAGAUGCCGCCUGCCCGCAGUAGGACGGCAAGACCCUAUGCACCUUUACUGUAAGCUGGUAUUGGGUUCUGGUUAAUAAUGCGUAGCGUAGGUGGGAGACUUUGAAGCGCCGGCCUCGGUCGGCGUGGAGUCGCAAUGUGAAACACCACUCUUCGUUAAUUAGGAUUCUAACCCCGGCCUGUCAUCCAGGCGGGGGACAUUGCCUGCGGGUCAGUUUGACUGGGGCGGUUUCCUCCCAAAUCGUAACGGAGGAGCGCUAAGCUUGGCUCAGCACGGUUGGCAACCGUGUGUCGAGCGUAUGGGUAGAAGCCAGGUUAACUGCGAGACCCACAAGUCGAGCAGGUGCGAAAGCAGGCCCAAAUGAUCCGAUAGUUUAAUGUGGAAUUGCUAUCGCUCAUCGGACAAAAGGUACGCUAGGGAUAACAGGCUGAUCGACUCCAAGAGUUCAUAUCGACGAGUCGGUUUGGCACCUCGAUGUCGGCUCAUCGCAUCCUGGGGCUGGAGAAGGUCCCAAGGGUCCGGCUGUUCGCCGGUUAAAGCGGUACGCGAGCUGGGUUCAGAACGUCGUGAGACAGUUCGGUCCUUAUCCACUGUGGGCGCAGGAAACUUGAGGGAUUCCUUCUCUAGUACGAGAGGACCGAGAAGGACGCACUUCUGGUGUGGCAGUUGUUCCGUCAGGGGCAACGCUGCGUAGCCAUGUGCGGAAGAGAUAAGCGCUGAAAGCAUCUAAGCGCCAAGCUCCUCCCAAGAUAUGGUUUCCCGGCCGCAAGGCCCUGAAGACCCCCGGUAGACUACCGGGUUGAUAGGUUAGGCGUGUAAGCGCUGCGAGGCGCUCAGCGGACUAAUACUAAUCGGUCGUGCGGCUUGAUCGU